AUUGAACGCUGGCGGCAUGCUUUACACAUGCAAGUCGAACGGUAACAGGGUGCUUGCACCGCUGACGAGUGGCGAACGGGUGAGUAAUGCGUCGGAACGCACCGAGUAAUGGGGGAUAACGCAGCGAAAGCUGUGCUAAUACCGCAUACGCUCUGAGGAGGAAGGCGGGGGACCUUCGGGCCUCGCGUUAUUCGAGCGGCCGACGUCUGAUUAGCUAGUAGGUGAGGUAAGAGCUCACCUAGGCGACGAUCAGUAGCGGGUCUGAGAGGAUGAUCGGCCACACUGGGACUGGGAAACGGCCCAGACUCAUGCGGGAGGCAGCAGUGGGGAGUUUUGGACAAUGGGCGCAAGCCUGAUCCAGCCAUGCCGCGUGUCUGAAGAAGGCCUUCGGGUUGUAAAGGACUUUUGUCAGGGAGGAAAUCCUUAGCGCUAAUACCGUUGAGGGAUGACAGUACCUGAAGAAGAAGCACCGGCUAACUCCGUGCCAGCCGCCGCGGUAA
rnacentral:rRNA from 1 species